CACUCCCCAUCGUACCCGCAAUCCCCACGCACCCACUCACCACCAUUCCAAUCCCGCACCCGCACCCGCUCGCCGAAACCCUAACCGCCGCCCCUCACCUUGGCCGACCCUCAGCCCGUCGACGGCGAGGAGCCCUCAGCCCGUCGCCUGCCUUUACCGACAAAUCACGCGACCGCAUGCCCACCAAAUCCCAAAUCUCACCGUCUCCGCCCUCUCCCCGUCCCCUCCACCAAGAUCGCACCAACCACCUCGAUGGCCGCCACCGCACCGCCGCACGCCGCGGCGCUCCUUGCCGCACUCGCCCUCGCCCUGCUCGCGCUCGCGCCCCCGGCGGUGGCCGAGAUCCGGUCGAUGGCAAUCCGGGCCGACCCGCGCACUAUGAUCCCGUGCGGUGCGGGAGAGCGGCACGGCGGCGGAGAAACCUCGGCGACCAGACGACGGCGCAGGUUGACUCCGGUUCGGCGUGGUGAAUCUGCAGCGGCGGUCAGAUCAAGGCAAGGAUUGGUCGGAAAGCUGGGCUGUACAUAAACUCAAAGAAGUUUGGCGGCGACAUUAAGCCGUGCAUGCUGGAGACGACGGCCUUCCUCAACUGCCCCGCCUUGAACAAGCAGAUCGAUCAAAGUAAUUCCAUAUCUAGCGAUGAUUAUCUCAGCACCAAUUGGCAGUGAGAGGUAGAAGGGGAAUGUUGACACCAUGUUCCAUGCUCCUUCAGACAUGGAGUCCAGGCGCGCACGGCUCCGUCGCCCCGCGCGCUCCAUUGGAGGAGCCCCCGCCCUGCGCGUGGCCGCCUUGGAGUUGGAGCGCUUCCUGCCCCACACCCCUUGUCUGCUCUGGCGGCGGGUUCCUCCUGGCCGCGAUGAUGCCUGAGGCCGGCCGCUACACCCACAAGAAGGAUGACGGCAUCUGCAACAGUGAGUUGCAGGGUUUUGCUUGCUCGCUUGCUUACUUUGCUGCCUGUCAGUAACCUGGACGACGAGCGCGGCGACGAGUCCGACCAGGGCGCGCUGGCAGAGGAGGCCCAGGAGCUCGCCGCCCCUGAUGGCGAGGGCGUGCGCGACUUGGAUGGUGGCCGCCAAGGCCAACGCCAGUGAGGACGUUGUCCUGGAGUUCAUUGGGGGGUUCAUCCCAUUUGAUAAUGCACGUGCCACGACAAGUGCGUCCCCGUGGACGGCAUGAGAAAUAGUGAGGAUGAAGAGGUGAAUGGUGUUGAUUAUUGAACUGAAAACUUGAUUUGGUCAGGUGGAGGGUGGCUUUGUGAAGGAUGUGGAGGUGGGAGAAGAACUCUGAAGGAAAGCGGUGAGUAGAUGUCGAUGAUGUCUACUUGCUUGGCUGCUAUGGUGAUGCAUGCACCGGUGAAGCACGCGCACAUUUAAGGCUGGCCCCAUGUCUUCCUUGGCUGCGAACAUCAUCUACAGGCUAGCAGUAUGACCGGAUGCGAGGACCUGCUCAUUGACCAGGACAAUCUAUGAGCUCCCAGCGCCUCUCAUACAAGGUGCGUUAGGGCCAACCUCUUCCGGAAGAAGGCCACACUCAUGUACCCUCUGGAUCAAAAUUGGAUGGCAAGUUGUCGCAGCUGGAGCAAGUCUCACGAGAGAGAGCAAGUUCUUCCUGUUAUAUAAUUCUUGUUGUAGGAUGGCAAGUUGUAGGAUGUGCCAUAAUUGUCUUAUUGCAUAUUCCCUCUGUUCCUUCUAUAUUCCUGUGUAAGGAAAUGUAUUCCUGAGAUGAUUUGUUAUGUAAACCUGAUGUGAUGCGAUGGAUGAUUUGAAUUUGAUAUGGAAUUUUCUUGAUUUGAAUAUGAAA